UACGGAGGGUGCAAGCGUUAUCCGGAUUUACUGGGUUUAAAGGGUGUGUAGGCGGAUUUUUAAGUCAGAGGUGAAAUCUCCAGGCUCAACCUGGAAACUGCCCCUGAUACUAUUAGUCUUGAAUAUUGAUGAGGUGGGCGGAACGGGUCAUGUAGCGGUGAAAUGCUUAGAGAUGACCCGGAACACCAAUUGCGAAGGCAGCUCACUGGGCAAUUGCUGACACUGAGGCGCGACAGCGUGGGGAGCAAACAGG
rnacentral:rRNA from 1 species